rnacentral:lncRNA from 1 species
UGGAAAGGCGACCGCUGAUUGGCUGUCGCAUAGCAACGGGGCGGGAAAGCGCAUCGCUUAGCAACGACUCCUGCACUUCCGUUUCGCGGCGUCGCGCGGUGAUGACGUAAAACCGGAAAAGCGCCGCCACACCCGGGCCCAGAACACGGAAGUGACCCCGUGACCUGAGACGACCCCGUGAGCUUUGGUAACCUCUUGACCGGAAGUGACCCCGUGACCGGGCGUGACCCCAGCUGCCUCUCCUUGACCCGAAGUGACCCCGUGACCCGAAGUGACCCCGGGAGCCUCUCCUUGACCUGAGGUGACCCCAUGACCUGCAGUAACCCCGGGAGCCUCUCCUUGACCCGAAGUGACCCCAUGACCGGAAGUAACCCCACCAGCCUCAUUCUGACCUGAAGUGACCUCGCGACCCGCAGUAACCCCAUGACCGGAAGUAACCCCAGAAGCCUCACUUUCACCCGAAGUAACCCCGUGACCCGAGGUAACCGCGUGACCGGAAGUACCCCCGUGACCCGAAGUAACCCCACCUCCCUCUCCUUUCCCCCUCCCCCUCCUCCCGGGCGGGGGGGGCUGCAACUUAAAGGCGAAGGGGGGGGGAGGGGGGGUCGGGGGGGGGUCCCGAUGGGGGUCCCGAUGGGGGUGGGGGGGGGGGCGGGGGGGGGGAGGGGCCAAAAAGGGGCGGGGGCUGAGAUGGUACGCGCACACCCGGGCGGCCAAACAGCGCGCCAGGUCUUCCGCACUGAAGGAGAAGUGGGGGGACCCCCCCCCACCGCCGCCCCCCCCCCCCGAAGUGGGGAGACCCCCCCGAGCCGAAGUGGGGCGACCCCCCCCCGAAAUGCGGCGACCCCCCCCCCGAAAUGAGGCGACCCCCCCCCAAAGUGCGGCGACCCCCCCCCCGAAAUGAGGCGACCCCCCCCCCGAAAAGAGGGCUGGGGGUGGGGGAGGGGCUGUAAGGCAGCUGUGGGGAUAGGGGGGCCAACAGAGCCCCCCCCGACCCGAAGGGGCUGCGGGGGUACAGCCGUAACAAAGUGGGGCCCCCCCCGGGAUCGGCGCUUAACCUGAGGGGGGGUCCCCGAAACGACGGCCCCCCCCCCCACCCCCAUAUCGGGGGGGUCGUCCGGCUCCAAAGCGGCGUCGCUGCAGUCGCUCAGAGACCCCCGGGGUCGGGGAGGGGGGGGGCGGCGGUGGGGGGGGGCGCCGUCUCCUCCUCCUCCUCCCCCCCCCCCCCACCUCCAACCCCCCCCCCAAGAAGGGAGGAAGAGGACGAAGACGGGGAGAGUCCAUCCGGGGGGGGGAAGCGGAAGUGGGGGGGUCCUCCUCCUCCUCCUCCUCCUCCUCCUGAAGACCCCCCCGUGGGGAUGGGGGGAGCGCUGUGGGGGACGGGGGGGCCUGAAG